AGGAACAAGACCUGUGUCCAGUCCGGAGUGGUGCUCUUGUCACAGAUGCCCACAUACAAGAGAGUGGAAGAUCGAGUUUGCUGUGGGAUGGUCCCAGAAUUAUGCUCAAGUCAAAGACCUGAGAUGACUCUAUCGAUGCUGGAUAUGAUGACCCUCUACAGUCAGCAGCAGUAUCGACAAGAUGUGUUUUCCUUUUAUGCAGAGACACUAGAAGAUGUCAAUAAAUCUUUCAGACAUGCUGCAUACAGACAAUUUACAUCUUAAUGCAUGGGAAACUGACUGCUGGAGACAGAAGAACUGUCCUAGCAUGUUGUGUUAAAUUAAUAAGGGAGAAGUUUCCUAGUCUUUCAGGCCAGUAUACAGGCUUCAUACCAGGUGGGCCCAGUGUUCUAACAAUUUUGCAUAUUUAUGCCCCCCUUCGAAGAAGAGGGGGUUUAUUGUUUUGCACAUGUCGGUCCGUCCACCACAUGGUUUCCAGAUGAUAACUUAGGAACGUUAAGGCCUAGGAUCAUGAAACUUCAUAGGUGCAUUGAUCAUUACUGGUGAUCAUGACUGGCAAAUGACCCCUAUUGAUUUUCAGUUCACUAGGUCAAAGGUCAGUGACUAGAAACAGUAAAACGGUUUCCGGAUGAUUACUCAAGAAUGCUUACCCCUAGGAUCUUGAAACUUUAUAGGUAAAUUGAUCAUGACUGGCAGAUGACCUCUUUAGAUUUUCAGGUCAAUAGGUCAAGGUCACAGUGACUCGAAACUGAUGACCCUUAUUGAUUUUCAGGUCACUAUGUCAAGCUCACAGUGACUCGAAAUAGUAAAAUGGUUUCCUGAUGAUAACUCAAGAAUAAUAUGGCCUAGGUUCAUAAAACUUCAUGGGUACAUUGAUCAUGACUGACAGAUGACCCCUAUUAAUUUUCAGGUCACUAUGUCAAAGGUCAAGGUCAUAGUGACAAAAAACGUUUUCACAGAAUGGCUGCAACUACAACUGACAGCCCAUAUGGGGGGCCUGCAUGUUUUACAAACAGCCUAGUUGCUAUUCUUUUUCAUUUAUCAGACAUAGAACUUUUUUAGUUUUGAUUAUUUUUUGUUCUGGCUCCUUUUUUGAAACAUUAAUAUUUAUGCAAAUCAUUUGAAUUAUGCUUAAUCAUUUGAAUUUUUCAGUUCCAUGCAUUUUGUUUUGAAAUACCAAUUUGUGUGAAAUGUGCUAGUUUAUUAUUAAAACUUGCACAGCAGUUUUUACAUGUGUAUGCUUACUUUGGUGUCAUUUGAAUGAAAUGCCAUGAGUACUCUGGAUUGUAAGAUGAAAGAAAUAAAAGAAUCAAUGACAUAUUGCUUAAGAAUACUAUAUUCAAAAUUCAUUUCUUGUAUACUUAUUUUAUUUUCUUACUUGAACUUAAUAGUUUGAUUUUUAUACUUUUAAGCUCACCUGAGCACAAUGUGCUCAUGGGGAGCUUUUGUGAUCGCCUUUUGUCCAUCGUGCAGCGUCUACAUUUGCCUUGUUAAAACUCUACAGGCCACAUUUAUUGUCCAAUCUUCAUGAAAUUUUGUCAAAAGAUUGGUCUCAAUGAUAUUUUGGAUGAGUUCGAAAAUGGUUACGUUUGCUUGAAAAGACCGUUCAUAAAAACAGUCAAUAGUGUAUUACCUGUUUGUAUUGUGAUUUUUUAUAUCUUUUGCUUGUAUUCAAUUUUAAGUUUGCAUUUUUUUUUUAUUAUGCCCCCCCCUUCGAAGAAGAGGGGGUAUGUUAUUUUGCUCAUGUCGGUCGGUCCGUCCACUGAAUGGUUUCCGGAUGAUAACUCAAGAACGCUUACGCCUAGGAUCAUAAAACUUCAUAGGUACAUUGAUCAUGAGUCGCAGAUGACCCCUAUUGAUUUUCAGGUCACUUAGUCAAAGGUCAAGGUGACUAGAACCAGUGAAAUGGUUUCCAGAUGAUAACUCAAGAGCUUACGCCUAGGAUCAUGAAACUUCAUAGGUACAUUGAUAAUGACUGGCAGAUGACCCUAUUGAUAUUCAGGUAACUAGGUCAAGGUCAGUGACAAAAAACGUAUUCACACAAUGGCUGCCACUACAACUGACAGCCCAUAUGGGGGGCAUGCAAGUUUUACAAACAGCCCUUGUUUAUUCUUAUUUCGAGUCAUUUUGUUUCACACUUGAUAUUUUGUUAGAUUAGGUUUCUUAAAAUACAUUUCAAACUAUGACAUAUGCUAAUGCAUGAUUAAACAUUUCGAAAUCAAUAAAAAAGCAACAAGUUGCUGUUGAAAAUUUGAAAAA